AGAGUUUGAUCCUGGCUCAGGAUGAACGCUAGCGGCAGGCUUAAUACAUGCAAGUCGUGGGGCAGCACAGGUAGCAAUACUGGGUGGCGACCGGCAAACGGGUGCGGAACACGUACGCAACCUUCCUUUAAGCGGGGAAUAGCCCAGGGAAACUUGGAUUAAUACCCCAUAAGACAGUGGUGUGGCAUCACACAGCUGUUAAAGCUCCGGCACUUAAAGAUGGGCGUGCGGCUGAUUAGGUAGUUGGCGGGGUAAUGGCCCACCAAGCCGACGAUCAGUAACUGGUGUGAGAGCACGACCAGUCACACGGGCACUGAGACACGGGCCCGACUCCUACGGGAGGCAGCAGUAAGGAAUAUUGGUCAAUGGACGCAAGUCUGAACCAGCCAUGCCGCGUGGAGGAUGAAGGCCCUCUGGGUUGUAAACUUCUUUUAUUGGGGAAGAAACCGGUGUUUUCUAACGCCGUUGACGGUACCCGAUGAAUAAGCACCGGCUAACUCCGUG
rnacentral:rRNA from 1 species